rnacentral:rRNA from 1 species
GACGAACGCUGGCGGCAUGCUUUACACAUGCAAGUCGAACGGUAACAGGCCGCAAGGUGCUGACGAGUGGCGAACGGGUGAGUAAUGCAUCGGAACGUGCCCAGUCGUGGGGGAUAACGCAGCGAAAGCUGCGCUAAUACCGCAUACGAUCUAUGGAUGAAAGCGGGGGACCGUAAGGCCUCGCGCGAUUGGAGCGGCCGAUGUCAGAUUAGGUAGUUGGUGGGGUAAAGGCUCACCAAGCCAACGAUCUGUAGCUGGUCUGAGAGGACGACCAGCCACACUGGGACUGAGACACGGCCCAGACCCCUACGGGAGGCAGCAGUGGGGAAUUUUGGACAAUGGGCGCAAGCCUGAUCCAGCAAUGCCGCGUGCAGGAAGAAGGCCUUCGGGUUGUAAACUGCUUUUGUACGGAACGAAACGGUCCUGGUUAAUACCCGGGGCUAAUGACGGUACCGUAAGAAUAAGCACCGGCUAACUACGUGCCAGCCGCCGCAGUAAAAC